AGUGGGAUAGCUGGGUUAAAUGGAGGUUCCAUUCCAAGUUUUGUAGGAAUAUCCAUAAUGUUAUCCAUAGUGGUGGCACCAAUUUGCAGUCCCACCAGCAAU
rnacentral:pre_miRNA from 1 species